rnacentral:lncRNA from 1 species
UUCAAUCAUUUUGCAAUAAUACUGAAAUUUUGCAAAUACUCAGAGAAAAAUGAAGAUUUGAGUGACAAGUUAAUGUUUCAAAAGCCUUUGACCAAGAAUCAGGUAAUUUACAAUUUGUUUUGAUUCUCAAAUGGAAUUAAAUGGUGCUAAAGACAUGUUACUUUGCUCCUUGGGGUAUUUUUUAUGUAUUCAUUUUUGUAGAUAAGUAUUUACAGAGAUACAUAUAGACAUGCACAUACAUACAAGGAAGUGCAUCUACUUAUUUCACCAUCUUAACUAGUAUACAAUAAGAUAAAAAACAGAACAAUAAUAACGAUAAAAACCUUUCUGGCUAAUGGUAUCAUAAUGUAAUUUCAAUUAACUUUUCUAAGAUAUACCAGAUAUUCAAAUAACUUAAUUUCUGGUUAAGGACAAAUCCAAAUUCUUGAUUUAGAACUGUGUGUUGUAAAACCUAAACUUUUAA